GACGAACGCUGGCGGCGUGCUUAACACAUGCAAGUCGAACGAAAAUACCAAGCUUGCUUGGUUGAUUAGUGGCGAACGGGUGAGUAACACGUGAGUAACCUGCCCCUUACUUUCCUGGAUAACUGCUCGAAAGGGUAGCUAAUACGGGAUAUUCUGACUAGCCUGCAUGGGUUGGUUUGGAAAGGUUGUUUUUCUGGUAAGGGAUGGGCUCGCGGCCUAUCAGCUUGUUGGUGGGGUGAUGGCCUACCAAGGCUUUGACGGGUAGCCGGCCUGAGAGGGUGGACGGUCACACUGGGACUGAGAUACGGCCCAGACUCCUACGGGAGGCAGCAGUGGGGAAUAUUGCACAAUGGGCGCAAGCCUGAUGCAGCGACGCCGCGUGAGGGAUGAAGGCCUUCGGGUUGUAAACCUCUUUCGUCAGGGAACAAGGCACCGUCUUUUUGGUGGUGUUGAGGGUACCUGGAUAAGAAGCGCCGGCUAACUACGUGCCAGCAGCCGCGGUAAUACGUAGGGCGCAAGCGUUGUCCGGAAUUAUUGGGCGUAAAGAGCUCGUAGGCGGCUGGUCGCGUCUGUCGUGAAAACUUCCGGCUCAACCGGGGGCUUGCGGUGGGUACGGGCCGGCUAGAGUGCGGUAGGGGUAACUGGAACUCCUGGUGUAGCGGUGGAAUGCGCAGAUAUCAGGAAGAACACCGGAGGCGAAGGCGGCUUACUGGACAAUAACUGACGUUGAGGCUCGAAAGCGUGGGGAGCAAACAGG
rnacentral:rRNA from 1 species